rnacentral:rRNA from 1 species
CGCGGUAAUUCCAGCUCCAAUAGCGUAUAUUAAAGUUGUUGCAGUUAAAACGCUCGUAGUCGGAUUUCGGGGCGGGGCCGCCGGUCUGCCGAUGGGUAUGCACUGGCGGGCGCGUCCUUCCUUCCGGAGACUGGCCCUACUCUUAACUGAGCGGGGUCGGGAAUCGGAUCGUUUACUUUGAAAAAAUCAGAGUGUUUCAAGCAGGCAGCUCGCUCUUGCAUGGAUUAGCAUGGGAUAAUGAAAUAGGACUCUGGUGCUAUUUUGUUGGUUUCGAACACCGAAGUAAUGAUUAACAGGGACAGUCAGGGGCACUCGUAUUCCGCAGAGAGAGGUGAAAUUCUCAGACCCGCGGAAGACGAACCACUGCGAAAGCAUUUGCCAGGGAUGUUUUCACUGAUCAAGAACGAAAGUUAGGGGAUCGAAGACGAUCAGAUACCGUCGUAGUCUUAACCAUAAGCCAUGCCGACUAGGGAUCGGCGGAAGUCCUUUUUGACUCCGUCGGCACCUUGAGGGAAACUAUAGUCUUUGGGUUCCGGGGGGAGUAUGGUCGCAAGGCUGAAACUUAAAGGAAUUGACGG